rnacentral:rRNA from 1 species
GCGACAAGUAGCGGAGCAUGUGGUUUAAUUCGAAGCAACGCGAGACUUACUAGGCUUGACAUCCCUUUGCAAAGCCCUUAACCGGGCUCCUCUUCUUCGGAAGACAAAGGUGACAGGUGGUGCAUGGUUGUCGUCAGCUCGUGUCGUGAGAUGUUGGGUUAAGUCCCGCAACGAGCGCAACCCCUAUUUUUAGUUGCCAUCAGUUAGGCUGGGCACUCUAGAAAGACUGCCGAGGACAACUCGGAGGAAGGUGGGGAUGACGUCAAAUCAUCAUGCCCCUUAUGCUUAGGGCUACACACGUGCUACAAUGGCUGUUACAAAGGGCUGCGAUGCCGCGAGGUGGAGCCAAUCCCAGAAAAACAGUCUAAGUUCGGAUUGUAGGCUGAAACUCGCCUACAUGAAGCCGGAGUUACUAGUAAUCGCAGAUCAGAAUGCUGCGGUGAAUGCGUUCCCGGGUCUU